GCACACAGAUGACCUGCAGAGCAAAGCUGAGUCUCACCUCUUCACGUUGAUCUGCAGCAUAUACAAGGGGACCCUGCCUGAUGCCUGUAGCUCGAGCCAAAGAGGGCGCUACAAUAGCUACUGCUACAGAGAGUGAGGAUGCACAACUGCACAUUCAAAGUUCUAAAGCCUGUUACGCAUGUCGCCACGAAAGAAGGAACUUUGAGGAAUGUUACCAGAUUUACUACUUUUUUUUAACAAUCUGUUUCUACUGUGAAGGUUUACCAGAACCUCAUUUGUGAUU